UGGAACUUUAUUUUUGUGAGCCCUGCCCGAUAAUCCUAGCUCCAUUUCGCAGACCAGAAGCAAGUCCACCGCCGCCAUCUUCAGGUUCGACCUCUCUCUCCAGGCUGUGUCUCCGCCAUCUCUCAUAACUAUCGGUUCACAGAUAGCCCUCCGUCCGCCAUCUCUCACACAGGUUCGAGCUCUCUCUUCGCCAUCUGUCAACGAGCUCACGGUUCGCAGAUAGCCCUCCAUCCGCCUCUCUCACACAGAUAAACAGAGAAGCAAUUCGCAGAGCCCUCCUCCAUCUCUCACAAGAGCCUCCUCUCUGCCAUCUCACCGCCAUCCCCUCUCUCUGCCAUCUCUUAAAAGCACUAGUUCUUCUUUGAGAAGCAGUUCGCAGAGAGCUCUUUCUCCGUCAUCUCUCACACAAAGAGCUCGAAAUAUAUAUUUUUGGAGAAAUCAUCAGUAAGUAGAACUUCAUUCUGAGCUUUUUCGAGUCAUCAACCUCCCACUCUCCAUUAACAGGUAUGGGUUUUUUUUGUUUUUUUUCUACAUACCUAAUUCUCUUGCUCGAAAAAUUAGGGUUUUUCUGCGUAUCAUUUUAUUUAGUGCUAAAUUUGUCUCUAACUGAUUGUUCAAAAUAAUAUUAGGGCUUUUGAUGCAUUUAAGUUAUUGAUGCAUAUGUUGUAUGAUUCCAUUUUUUUUCCUUGAAUUUUAUGUCAUUCCUUUCCAUAUUUUAGGGGGGAAAAACAUUAUUGCGUAGAUCUUUUUUAAUAUCAUACUAUUAAGGCUUUUGAUGCAUUAUCUUUUUUAAUCAUUUGUGUAGUUCUAUGGGCUUUCUAUUUCUUUAUUAUUUACGCAAUACUGGUUUUUAUUUUCUUGGUUUGAGUUUUUCAAUUCAUUCUCUGAACAGUGGUUUGUUUUGCUAUCGUGAUAUACAAUAAUAAAUGUUGAUGAAUGACUGAUUAUAUAGAAUAUAAUAGAUCUGUUAUUUCCCUAUAAUAGGACGGACCCACACAUGUCAUCAAGCAUAAUGAAUGAGAAUAUAGGAUCCAAAAGGAACUUGCAAUUGACACAAGCAGAAGAAGAUUAUUUCAUUGAACUUAUGGAGAAGGAGACCAGGGCUGUAGGGAACACGGGGGAGGGGGUUUAAAAAAGGUGUCUGGAAACGGAUGGUAGAAGCAAUGACAAUUAAAUAUGGGCCAGUAAACAAGGAAAGUAGGUGAAGGAGCAAGCACAAGUUCUUCAGAAACAUGUACAAUAACAUAAAAAAACUUAUGGCUGUAUCCGGAUUUGGAUGGGAUGAAAAUAAGAGAAUAGCAACCGUCGAGAGUGCUGUUUGGAAUGACUUCUUAGCGGUAUGUAAUUACUCAUUUGCAUAGGCUUUUAAAAUGUUGAAUACGUUUAAAUAUGAAUAUCGUUAAAAAUAAUUUAUGAUCUUUCAUAUGCAAGCGAAUGAUUGGGCCAAUAAAUAUCAUAACAAGACUUUGCCUGAAUUUUCGCUGCUAAGUAAGAUCUAUGAGGGCAGCACAGUAGAUGAGACUUACAAAUUUACUGGGGGUGGCAUUAGAAUUGAGCCAGAAAGGCCCAACGCUGCAUUAUCUAAUGACCCCCCUUUAGAAGUCCAAGUCAAAUCUAGCUCAUCCUUAUCUGAUGGCCUAGUAUCAUCUGGAACCAAAAGACGACAGUCCCAAACUUCGAUAGGAACCCAUCGUCGAUUAAAGCAACCCACCUUCAAUGACUCCAUGACUGAAGCCAUGACAAAGAUGGCCAAUACCAUUGAGAUGCUAGUACGUGACACCACAGGUAACAGUAGUGUGGUGGAUGGUCCCAACGCUAGGAGAGAGGCCUUAAAGAUUGUUGAAGGCAUGUGGAGAGCAGGUGAAGUUGGUGAUAAUGUCCUUAUAAUGGCGGUAAGGAUCUUCCAAGAUUCUACAAAGGCGGAGAUGUUAAUACUUGGAGGAUCGAAGGAUGCAAAGGGCUUACUUGGAUGAAGAGAUGAAAUGCCUCUAAAUACUUGAUUGACUAUGUUUUCAUUAUGGAUGUGGAUGGCUUCUUUCAUAUUAUGGUUUGAUAAAGAUUACUUUAUGGUUUGCAUUUUAUAAAUAUGUAUUGGAUGAGUUCUUUCAUUUGUAUGUGGAUGAUUUCUUUCAAUUUAAUGUCAAAGGUUGCUGCAUGUUUUUCUUUAUGGAUGUGGAUGGCUUCUUUCAUUUAAUGGUUUGAUUAAAGAUUGUUUUAAUGGUUUGCAUCUUAUAAAUAUGUAUGUGGAUGGCUUCUUUCGUUUUAAUGUCAAAGAUUGGUUUCAUUUAAUGGUUUGAUUAAAGAUUGCGUUAAUGGUUUGCAUCUUAUAAAUAUGUAUGUGGGUGGCUUCAUUCAUAUAAUAGUUUGGUUAAAGAUUACUUUAUGGUUGUGGAUGUCUUCUUCCAUUUCUAGUUAUGGAUCCCCAACGACGUCGGUUGACGGUAAUAUUACGUGCUGCAUAUACAAUGUGUAUUGGUAUAUCACUACGCAAAAGUGGAGAAAGCGUGUUCAUACUUCAAUUUUUUCUGGGCCCAAUUAUGUUCAAUACUUGUUGUCAGGACACCCUCGUAAGUGCUUUGACCAGUUACGAAUGGAAAGAUGUGCUUUUAUCAGUCCGUACAGUUUGUUAAAGGAGAGGACACACAUUACAGAUACAAGAUAUUUGGCAGUUGAUGAGCAAAUAGCCAUAUUUUUAAGCACCGUCACACACGAUCAACAGAAUAGGGUUCCAACAUUCAGGGCAAACCAUAAGUUACUAUUUCCAUAGAGUUUUACAAGCCAUCUUAAAAUUGGAACCCUUGUUCUUACAACCAUCAAGCAAUGAAACAUCGGCCCACAUUGUUGGUGUUACACUACGAUUUUACCUAUAUUUCAAGGUAUGCGAGUGUCAAGUAAUUCACAUUGGUGUUCUCACAUCCACUGAGAUCUAAUAUAUAAUAGUAUGAUUCUUUUAUCUUAAUAGGAUUGUGUCGGAGCUAUUGAUGGGACUCAUGUCCCUGCUCGAGUUCGUAGUCGAUUGCAUAAUCGUUUUCGAAACAGAAAAGGUUUUCUAAGCCAGAAUGUUAUGGCUACGGUUGGUUUUGAUAUGCGUUUUCAUUAUGUACUUGCAGUUUGGGAAGGAUCUGCAUCAGAUUCUAAAGUCCUAUAUGACGCAAUUAGUAAUGAACGCAGUAGGCUUGCAGUGCCUGAGGGUAACUCUAUUCCUGCUUAUGUUUCGUUGCUUAGGUCUAUACAAUAUUUUUAGUGUAAUAUUUGGCCUUACAAUAUACUCAUUGCACAAACAUGGUACAAUAAAAUAUUCCCUUGUAGAUGGUGGGUAUUCUACUAUGCAUGAUUUCAUAGGACCAUAUCGAAGAGUCCGUUACUAUCUAAACGAAUUUACUUCAGGCCCAUGAACUCCUUAAAAUCACAAUGAGUUAUUCAACAAGCGGCAUUCUACGCUUAGAAAUGUGGUGGAGAGGACAUUUGGACUUUAGAAGACCAGAUUUCCUGUACUCAAGAAUCAAAUGCAGUAUCCUUUACGAACACAGGUCGAUGUAGUUAUUGCAUGUGCACUAUUGUACAACUAAAUCAUGAUGAUAUGGGGAGCCGAAAGCAGAAGAGAGCUACGUUUUCGAAGGAGGGAUGAGAGUCAACUCGUAAUUAACGGAGGUGAUGGUUUUUUGCAAUUGACUAAGGGGCACGCUGAUCAUGAUGUUGGCGUCAAUCUGCGAGAUGCCAUGGCGACGCAGUUGUGAGAGGCCUACCUAAAUCACUAGCAUUUGUAAUUAAACGUUGUUCUACAUGUAAUAUGGACCUUAUUUUGUAGCUACAAAUAUUGAGUCCUCGUCGAAUGUUGUCUUCAUUCUAUUGCAUUUUGAAUUAUGUAUGGUUAAGCUAUUACAAGUUAUUGUUGAAUGGGCUGGUUUUAUA